UCACACCGUCUGGACCCUCACUUCCAUGGAAUUCAAUGCCGUAUUCCCAAAUACUUUUCUUCUCAAGAGUUGCAGAGACUUCCCCUAAUCCUUUUUUAGCUGCAAACUUUACUUCUGAAGAAUAUCUAAUAUUCUUAAAGAUCUGUUGCAGAGAGUUCCCUUAAUCGAUCAAUCCCUUGUUUCCUACAAAAAAAGAAAAAAAAAACAUGGCUGGUUUUGUUGGAGAAGCCGUUUUGUCUGGGUUCAUUCAGAAGUUGGUCGACAUGGUCGCCUCGCCGGAGCUGUGGAAGUACGCACGUGAAGAGCAAGUGGAUUCUGAACUGAACGAGUGGAAGAAAAUAUUGAUGAAGAUCUACGCAGUGCUCCAUGACGCGGAGGACAAGCAGAUGACAAACCCCCUGGUGAAGAUGUGGCUACACGACCUCAGAGACUUGGCUUAUGAUGUAGAGGACAUCUUGGAUGAAUUCGCCACCCAAGCUUUGCGACGCAACUUGAUCGUGGCUCAACCCCAACCGCCCACUGGUACUGUUCAGAGCAUUUUCUCUUCUUUGUCUACUAGUCUCACUUUGAGUGCUGCUUGGUCCAAUUUAAGUAUGGGUUCCAAGAUAGAGGAGAUCACUGCCAGAUUGCAAGAUAUUUCAGCCCAAAAAAAGCACCUGGAUUUAAGAGAUGUUUCUGCUGGUUGGUCUGGUAGAAAGAGACUACGGAGACUGCCAUCCACUUCUUUGGUGAUAGAAUCUCGUAUUUACGGCAGGGAAACAGAAAAAGCAGCCAUACUUGCCAUGCUGCUCAAGGAUGAUCCAAGUGAUGAUGAAGUCUGCGUGAUCCCUAUCGUCGGCAUGGGAGGUAUAGGCAAAACUACUCUUGCUCAACUUGCGUUUAAUGACGAUAAAGUGAAGGAUCAUUUUAAUUUGCGAGCUUGGGUCUGUGUUUCCGAUGAUUUUGAUGUUUUGAGGGUGACCAAAACUAUUCUGCAAUCACUUUCUCCACAUACACGUUAUGCCAACAAUCUUAAUUUGCUUCAGAUUGAGCUCAGGGAGAAACUUUACCGGAAGAAAUUUCUUCUUAUCUUGGACGACGUUUGGAAUGAGAAUUUUGAUGAAUGGGAUAUUUUGUGCAUGCCGAUGAGAGCCGGAGCGUCAGGCAGUAAGCUUAUUGUCACAACCCGUAAUAAAGGGGUUGUAUCUGUUACCGGAACUUGUUCAGCUUAUCCCCUUCAGGAGUUAUCAUAUGAUGAUUGUCUAUCUUUAUUCACCCGACAAGCAUUAGGGGCAAGAAACUUUGAUGCUUAUCCACACCUGAAAGAAGUUGGAGAGGAGAUAGUCAGAAGGUGCAAAGGCUUGCCUUUGGCAGCAAAGGCCCUUGGUGGCAUGUUGCGCAAUCAACUAAAUCGCAGAGCAUGGGAAGAUAUAUUAACAAGCAAGAUAUGGGAUCUCCCGGAGGAGAAAAGUCAUAUUCUUCCGGCUCUCAAGCUAAGCUACCAUCAUCUUCCUUCUCAUUUGAAGCGGUGUUUUGCUUAUUGCUCGAUAUUUCCAAAAGACUAUGAAUUCGACAAAGAUGAAUUAAUCCUAUUAUGGAUGGCAGAAGGUUUUCUGCAACAAACAAAGGGAGAGAACCAGCCUGAGAAGUUAGGUUGUGAGUACUUUGAUGAUUUAUUCUCAAGGUCAUUUUUUCAACAGUCAACUCAAAAUUCAUCCCAAUUUUUAAUGCAUGAUCUUAUUAACGAUUUAGCACAAUCUAUUGCCGGAGACAUAUGCUUUAAUUUGGAUGAUGAGUUAGAGAAUAAUAAGCAAUCCACGGCUGUUUCAGAGAAGGCUCGUCAUUUGUCAUUCAAUCGUCAACGUUACGAGAUGAUGAGAAAAUUCGAAGCGUUUCAUAAGGCUAAGUGUUUGCGGACGUUAGUUGCUUUGCCCCUCACUACAUUUUCUACAUUUUUCAUUUCAAGUAAGGUGCUAGAUGACCUUUUAAAAGAAAUGAAAUGUUUGCGGGUAUUGUCAUUAAGCGGUUAUUUCAUAAGUGAGAUGUUACCAAAUUCCAUAGGCGGUUUGAAACAUCUGCGCUAUUUGAAUUUAUCUGAUUCUUUGAUGAAUAGGUUACCCGAUUCAGUGGGUCAUCUUUAUAAUUUGCAAACACUGAUAUUACGCAAUUGCUAUAGACUUGUUGAGUUGCCUAUGGGAAUUGGAGGCCUCAUCAACCUUCGACAUGUUGAUAUUUCUGGUGCAGUUCAACUACAGGAGAUGCCCCCUCAAAUGGGAAACUUAACCAAUUUGCAAACAUUAUCCGACUUUAUUGUGGGCAGAGGUAGCAGGUCGGGUGUCAAAGAAUUAAAGAAUUUGUUGGGUCUCCAAGGAAAGCUUUCCAUUUCAGGGUUGCAUAAUGUGGUAGAUAUUCAAGAUGCAAGGAGUGUUAAUUUACAGAAGAAGCAGAACAUCAAAGAGUUAACACUGAAAUGGAGCAGUGAUUUUGGUGAAUCAAGAAAUAAAAUGAAUGAGACGCUUGUUUUAGAGUGGCUACAACCUCAUAGAAAUCUGGAAAAGCUCACCAUUGCAUUCUAUGGUGGACCAAACUUUCCAAGUUGGAUAAAGAAUCCCUCAUUCCCUUUAAUGACACACUUGGUUCUCAAGAAUUGCAAGAUAUGCACAUCGUUACCGGCUCUCGGCCAAUUAUCCUUACUCAAAAACUUGCAUAUCGAAGGGAUGAGUGAAGUUAGAACCAUAGAUGAGGACUUUUAUGGAGGGAUUGUCAAGUCUUUUCCAUCCUUGGAGUUUCUGAAGUUUGAAAAUAUGCCAACAUGGAAAGAUUGGUUUUUUCCAGAUGCAGAUGAACAAGUGGGACCAUUUCCAUUCCUUCGAGAACUUACAAUAAGGAGAUGCUCAAAGCUAGGUAUACAGUUGCCUGAUUGCCUACCUUCUCUGGUUAAACUUGAUAUCUUUGGGUGUCCAAAUUUGAAAGCUCCCUUUUCAGGAUUUGCAUCUCUUGGUGAAUUAAGUUUAGAAGAAUGUGAAGGGGUGGUGUUCAGAAGUGGGGUUGGUAGUUGUCUUGAAACAUUAGCUAUUGGACGGUGUCACUGGCUUGUAACGUUGGAGGAGCAAAUGCUACCUUGCAAACUUAAAAUUUUGAAAAUACAAGACUGUGCUAACCUGGAGGAGCUGCCAAACGGAUUGCAAAGUCUCAUAUCUCUCCAAGAGUUGAAAUUAGAGAGGUGCCCCAAACUGGUUUCAUUUCCAGAGGCCGCUUUGUCACCCUUGCUCAGAUCUCUGGUGCUGCAGAACUGCCCAUCUCUCAUAUGCUUUCCAAAUGGUGAGCUGCCCACCACGCUCAAGCAUAUGAGGGUUGAAGAUUGUGAAAAUUUGGAGUCUCUACCAGAGGGAAUGAUGCACCACAAGUCCUCUUCCACUGUAAGCAAAAACACUUGUUGCCUUGAAAAAUUGUGGAUAAAGAAUUGUUCCUCUCUCAAGUUCUUUCCAACAGGAGAAUUACCCUCCACCCUUGAGCUCCUUUGUAUUUGGGGAUGCGCAAACUUGGAGUCAAUAUCAGAGAAAAUGUCACCCAAUGGCACAGCUCUUGAAUAUUUAGACAUAAGGGGCUAUCCAAAUCUGAAAUUCCUACCAGAAUGCCUUACAAGCCUCAAGGAGCUCCACAUAGAAGAUUGUGGAGGUCUGGAGUGUUUUCCAAAAAGAGGGUUGUCAACCCCCAACCUCAUGCACCUUCGUAUUUGGAGAUGUGUGAAUCUCAGGUCCCUUCCACAGCAAAUGAAAAACCUCACAUCUGUUCACACUCUCAGCAUACGGGGUUGUCCAGGAGUGGAAUCCUUUCUAGAAGGGGGUUUGCCCCCCAAUCUAACAUCACUUUACGUUGGAUUGUGUCAGAAUCUGAAAACACCCAUAUCUGAAUGGGGACUCCUUACCCUCACCUCUCUUUCUGAAUUGUCCAUUUGUGGAGUGUUUCCCAAUAUGGCUUCUUUUUCGGAUGAAGAGUGUCUGCUUCCUCCAUCUCUGACCUAUCUUUCCAUCAGUGAACUAGAAUCUUUAACCUCCCUGGCUCUCCAAAAUCUGGUGUCUCUUACUGAACUAGGUAUUGAUUGUUGCUGCAAGCUCAGUUCCUUGGAGUUGCCUGCAACACUUGGAAGACUUGAAAUCACUGGUUGUCCUAUUAUAAAAGAAAGCUGCUUAAAGGAGAAGGGAGGAUACUGGCCCAACUUCUCCCACAUCCCCUGCAUUCAAAUAGAUGGCUCAUACAUCCAUUGAAAGAUAGCAGACUCAGAUUGAAAUACAUUUUUCUCUUGUCAAGAAGGAUAGAUCCAUUCAUCUUUAUGCUUACUUUAGUCAAUCAGAUUCAGAGGGAUAAUGCUUGGUAGAGAUGUGGCAGGAAGCACAGGGUGAAGAUGACAGAAGAUCUUUGACAGAAGUUACUCACUGGGGUGGGUUCUUCUCUCACUUAUUGUCUCUUCAACUGUGUCCUUUUUAUUUUUAUAAUUGUUGGUAGACUUGUAUAGUGAUUUGAAAAAUGCUUUGCAAUGAUCAUUUAUAAAUAUUUACAUUGUCAUGUCACUAAGUCUUUGAUGGUAUUUCAAGAAAUUGUUCAUUGUUGCUCACUUAAAAUUUCUAUCCAAACAUCACUCAUUCAACCACAGAGUGCCAUUAUGAACUGAAGCUAUGUAUAAACUAUCUUGAAAGAGCUCAUUUUGAUUGGUAAUGUUUGUAUAGUUCUUGCUAAUUCUUUUCCUGCUAAUGUGACUGCCAAUUUUCAUUCUAAAUUCAUGGGGUUCUGGCUUGACAAGGAUGUUGCAGAGGUAAACAGUUAUGUCUCCCUGUUCAGAAUAUGUGGAUUCCCAUUUCAUUGGCCCCAUAUUGGUUUGGCAUUCAGAAAAUAAAUGAAAUUUCUUCUCAACAUGUAGGAUGAAAAAAAGAUGGUGAAUUUCUAUGACUGGUGCAAUUGAUUUUAAAUUUCUCACAAGAUUUUUCAUCGAUGUUUCAUUUAGAGGUGGACAUCGACUGUAGUUAUGGCUUGGCAUUCUCUCUUUGCUUUUCAUGCUGCUGUUAAUCCUCUGUUUCACACAAACAGAGUCAUUUUUCUAGAUGAAGUAACGUUGGCAUUCUGUUGUUUUUGCAGUGUGAUUAACCUUAAUUUUACACAUAUACAGUUCCAUCCACAGAUCCAUGAAUUGUCCUGCAGGUUUAUUUGUGCAAGGUUAUACUACUUUUGUUUUGAGUUCAAUCCAGUCUUAAGAAGAUUGGAGAGGGCAUUAAACAAACCUUCUGGCUGACUCUGGAUGUAUACUAUAGUAUCUUAAGAAAGGUGCCUACAUAUUUAUUGAUCACCUAAUCUCUGGUCCUUGGGCAGCCUGCAAUACUUAGAAGGCUUAGCACAGGUUGUCCUAUUCUAAAAGAAAUGUGCUUAUAAGAGAGCCACAUUGCCCACAUCCCCUUUAUUGACAUAGAUAUUAGAUAUAUCCAUUUACUGUGCCAGCCAUAUCCUCUCCUUGCUUUCAAUCAGGCACGGGCUUUCAUAUAUCAUAAAUAUUAGCAAUUUUCUUUGAACUCUACUUUCCCUACUCAUAAUAACAAAAGCAGAGACCACUCUUCCUUAUUUUAAACUGGGUAUGUCUGCUCAUUCAUAAUUUAAAUUGGGUAUGUUUUUGCCAUGAUGUAGGUUUUGACAAAGGAAAGGGCUGCCUGCAACACUCCCAAUGCUUGAAAUCAGGAAAUUUCAUAUUCGAAAAACUGAUGGUAAGAGGAUGUGGGGAGAUUGCAUCUUUUGUUGGAGAGCAGGUUUGGAUUAGAAUGCCUCAGUGGUCUUGAAAGUCUGGAGAUCUGGUAGUGGCAUGGACUUGUACCCUUUGGACUUUGGAGCAGCAGGGCUGCUUGGCAAUCUUAAAUAUUUGAAAUUGGAAGACUGGGCUAACCAGAAGAAGCAGAAGACUGCAGUUUAGCCUCCAACCUUACAUCACUUUAUAUGGGAGAUCAUCUAAAUCUGAAGCUGCCAUUAUCUGAGUAGGGCCUCCACAGGCUCACUUCUCUUUCAUCAUUUGUACAUUUCUGGUGUAUGUCCAGCUCUGGCUUCUCUAUCAGAUGAUGACUAUCUUUUUCCCACAACUGAGCAAUUUUUUUAUUCGUAAACUGGAUUCCAUCGCAUCAGUGGCUUUCAAAAACCUGCGUUCUCUUGAAACUAUAUCCAUCUAUAGGUGUCCUAAGCUCUGGUCCAAAGGGUUGACUGAAAAACUUUCGAGGCAUGACCUCAAUACUACAUGAUUAUCUGCUUUCUUCAA